rnacentral:lncRNA from 1 species
AACUUCACAUUCACAUUCAUUGUGCUUUCCGUGUCCAACCAUGGUUUCUAAUGGCAUUCCUUUCCAGCUCUAGGGUCAGGGACUGCAUCCUCAUCUGCAACCUCUCUGGAGCCCACAAAGCCUGGAGGCUCCUCAGCUCCUGCAUCAACUGCAUUUACCCCAGAAGCAUCUCUCGUUCCUUCCCUCACCACAGCCACUGGCCACAGCCUGGAAGCUUUCACACUGAACUUCACCACCACCAACCUGCUCUACACAACAGAUGUGGAAAACACUGGUUCCAGUAAAUUCAGCACCACAGAGAAAAUGCUGCAGCACCUGGAAUAGCAGCACUGGCUCCCUCUAGUCUGAAUGCAGAGUGACAUCUUUGAGGUGAGAUCCCAUAAUCUGAGGGUUGUUUUGAUGAGGGC